AGGAUCAACCUAACAACGAAAGCC
rnacentral:siRNA from 1 species